rnacentral:sRNA from 1 species
UUGAAAUAAAACUGACCUAAGACAGCAGGGGAGCAGUGCUCAUAACAUUCCUGCCGAGGCACAAAACGUAAUUUAUUGAAAUAACGUAUUUGUACUUUCGUGUCUAGGUUUAGGUACGAUUUUUUUGU